rnacentral:rRNA from 1 species
CGGGUAUGAGCGAUUUAUCGUUCUAAGUGAGUGACGUCACACUGCCAAGAAAAGCUUCUAGUUAGAAUCAGACCGCCCGUACCGCAAACCGACACAGGUAGUCGGGUCGAGAAGACCAAGGUGAGCGAGAGAACUCUCGUUAAGGAACUCGGCAAAAUGACCCCGUAACUUCGGGAGAAGGGGUGCUGAUCGCAAGAUCAGCCGCAGUGAAUAGGCCCAGGCGACUGUUUAUCAAAAACACAGGUUUCUGCAAAAUCGUAAGAUGAAGUAUAGGGGCUGACGCCUGCCCGGUGCUGGAAGGUUAAGAGGAUGGGUUAGCGUAAGCGAAGCUCAGAAUUGAAGCCCCAGUAAACGGCGGCCGUAACAAUAACGGUCCUAAGGUAGCGAAAUUCCUUGUCGGGUAAGUUCCGACCCGCACGAAAGGCGUAACGAUCUGGGCACUGUCUCAACGAGAGACUCGGUGAAAUUAUAAUACCCGUGAAGAUGCGGGUUACCCGCGACAGGACGGAAAGACCCCAUGGAGCUUUACUGUAGCUUGAUAUUGGGUGUUUGUACAACUUGUACAGGAUAGGUAGGAGCCGUAGAAGUCGGGACGCUAGUUUCGACGGAGGCAUCGGUGGGAUACUACCCUCGUUGUAUGAACACUCUAACCCACGCCGGCAAUCACGGCGGGAGACAGUGUCAGGUGGGCAGUUUGACUGGGGCGGUCGCCUCCUAAAAGGUAACGGAGGCGCCCAAAGGUUCCCUCAGAAUGGUUGGAAAUCAUUCGCAGAGUGUAAAGGCAUAAGGGAGCUUGACUGCGAGACCUACAAGUCGAGCAGGGACGAAAGUCGGGCUUAGUGAUCCGGUGGUUCCGCGUGGAAGGGCCAUCGCUCAACGGAUAAAAGCUACCCUGGGGAUAACAGGCUUAUCUCCCCCAAGAGUCCACAUCGACGGGGGGGUUUGGCACCUCGAUGUCGGCUCAUCGCAUCCUGGGGCUGUAGUCGGUCCCAAGGGUUGGGCUGUUCGCCCAUUAAAGCGGUACGCGAGCUGGGUUCAGAACGUCGUGAGACAGUUCGGUCCCUAUCCGUCGCGGGCGCAGGAAAUUUGAGAGGAUCUGUCCUUAGUACGAGAGGACCGGGAUGGACAUACCGCUGGUGUACCAGUUGUUCUGCCAAGGGCAUCGCUGGGUAGCUAUGUAUGGAUGAGAUAAACGCUGAAAGCAUCUAAGUGCGAAACUCACCUCGAGAUAAGAUUUCCCACUCCUUUACGGAGUUAAGACCCCUGAGAGAUGAUCAGGUAGAUAGGAUGGAAG